GAACGCUAGCGACAGGCCUAACACAUGCAAGUCGAGGGGCAGCACAAGGAGCAAUCUGAGGUGGCGACCGGCGCACGGGUGAGUAACACGUAUGCAACCUGCCUGUAAGCGGGGAAUAACCCGUUGAAAGACGGACUAAUACCGCAUAAUACUAAAUUACUGCAUGGUAAUUUAUUUAAACAUUUAUGGCUUACAGAUGGGCAUGCGCAUGAUUAGCUAGUUGGAGAGGUAACGGCUCCCCAAGGCAACGAUCAUUAGGGGUUCUGAGAGGAAGGUCCCCCACACUGGUACUGAGACACGGACCAGACUCCUACGGGAGGCAGCAGUGAGGAAUAUUGGUCAAUGGACGAGAGUCUGAACCAGCCAAGUCGCGUGCAGGAAGAAUGUCCUUAAUGGAUUGUAAACUGCUUUUGCAGGGGAAUAAAGUGCAUCACGUGUGAUGUUUUGUAUGUACUCUGCGAAUAAGGAUCGGCUAACUCCGUGCCAGCCGCAGC
rnacentral:rRNA from 1 species